UACGGGGGGGGCAAGCGUUGUUCGGAAUUACUGGGCGUAAAGGGCGCGUAGGUGGCCAACUAAGUCAGACGUGAAAUCCCCAGGCUUAACCUGGGAACUGCGUCUGAUACUGGAUGGCUUGAGAUUGGGAGAGGGAUGCGGAAUUCCAGGUGUAGCGGUGAAAUGCGUAGAUAUCUGGAGGAACACCGGUGGCGAAGGCGGCAUCCUGGACCAACACUGACACUGAAACGCGAAAGCCAGGGGAGCAAACGGG
rnacentral:rRNA from 1 species